AAGGGUAUAGCUCAGCACUAGAGUGCAUGCCUAGAAUGCAGAAGGUUCUGGGUUCAAUCCCCAGUAUCUCCA
rnacentral:tRNA from 1 species